GAUGAACGCUGGCGGCGUGCUUAACACAUGCAAGUCGAACGCUGAAGCUCAGCUUGCUGGGUGGAUGAGUGGCGAACGGGUGAGUAACACGUGAGUAACUUGCCCUCUUCUUUGGGAUAACGCCCGGAAACGGGUGCUAAUACUGGAUAUUCACUGAUUCUCGCAUGGGGGUUGGUGGAAAGGUUUUUUCUGGUGGGGGAUGGGCUCGCGACCUAUCAGCUUGUUGGUGGGGUGAUGGCCUACCAAGGCUGUGACGGGUAGCCGGCCGGAGAGGGUGACAGGGCAAAUGAGACAUGAGCUACGCCCCAGAGUGAGACGGGAGGCGGCAGUGGGGAAUAUUGCGCGAUGGGCGGAAGCAUGAUGCCGCGGCGCGGCGUGAGGGAUGGAGGCCUUCGGGUUGUAAACCUCUGUCGCUCAUGGUCAAGCCGCAACUUUGGGUUGUGGUGAGGGUAGUGGGUAAAGAAGCGCCGGCUAACUACGUG
rnacentral:rRNA from 1 species